rnacentral:rRNA from 1 species
GUGUGAGCGGUAUUCCACGCCGUUCGUGCCGCAGCUAACGCAUUAAGCACCCCGCCUGGGGAGUACGGCCGCAAGGCUAAAACUCAAAGGAAUUGACGGGGGCCCGCACAAGCAGCGGAGCAUGUGGCUUAAUUCGACGCAACGCGAAGAACCUUACCAAGGCUUGACAUGCAGGGAAAUCCUCCAGAGAUGGGGGGUCCGCAAGGGUCCUGCACAGGUGGUGCAUGGUUGUCGUCAGCUCGUGUCGUGAGAUGUUGGGUUAAGUCCCGCAACGAGCGCAACCCUCGUUCUAUGUUGCCAGCGCGUGAUGGCGGGGACUCAUAGGAGACUGCCGGGGUCAACUCGGAGGAAGGUGGGGAUGACGUCAAAUCAUCAUGCCCCUUAUGUCUUGGGCUGCACACAUGCUACAAUGGCCGGUACAAAGGGCUGCUAAACCGCGAGGUGGAGCGAAUCCCAAAAAGCCGGUCUCAGUUCGGAUUGGGGUCUGCAACUCGACCCCAUGAAGUCGGAGUUGCUAGUAAUCGCAGAUCAGCAACGCUGCGGUGAAUACGUUCCCGGGCCUUGUACACACCGCCCGUCACGUCACGAAAGUCGGUAACACCCGAAGCCAGUGGCCCAACCCGCAAGGGGGGGAGCUGUCAAAGGUGGGGCUG